ensembl:lncRNA
CAGCCCCAGCGGGCCGGGCCGCGCCGCCCCGCGCCGUCCUUCCCCCCCCCCCCCCCCCCUUCCCACGCCGAGCCGGACCAAGGCCCAAACUCACCUCUCUCUUCCUCGCUUUCCUCAUCCUCGCUGGUGCGGGACGGCUCUGCGGACGGGAAGCGACGGGGGGCGCUCGGCACGGCCCUAGCCGAGGGUCUGUCCCCAACCCCAUCUCCAUCCCCGUAGCCCCGCGCCGAGGUGGGACCGCGCGCUUCCCUCACCCUGACGCUGUCCGGGGAGCUCCCGCCGAGGGAGGCCCUCCUGGCGCCGAGAAGUGAAGCUGUCCCGGCCGAGAGGGUAACUGGGGAUGGAGCCACUGCUGUCAGUGUUGUAGGACAGCCUCUCAGCACCACAAUGCGUACAGUCUGAGGCCAGAAGUCCCCCAGAAUGCUGGAAAAAUGCCUUUGGAAAUCUUCCCAUCAUCCAGACACCAUUAAACCAGCAAAUGGGGAUUUUUCUGAGGAGCACCUUUAAUCUGAAGUUGCUGUCAAGCAUCAUCCACCUGCUUUGAGUUUCUCUCAGAGACAGUUUUCACCUCACCUAGACCAAUUAUGCCAACACAAUUCAUAAUUCUGGAAUAUGAAUAAAGUCAUGUAUUUAAAUACGGUGAAUAAUGCAGCUCUGAUAAGCUUUCUGCCAAAUUACACUGUAUGGAAACUGUUGAGUCAUGGCCUGAACCACUGAUUGAUCACCUGAGAUAAGGACUGGGUCAGCCCUGAGAGCACAGGUGAAGGCAGUUCAGCUGUGUGACCGGAAGUGGCUCCUAGACCCCAUUUAAGGGCUGAGGAAGGAUCUCUUUCUGGAGAUCUCUCCCUUUUGGAGUUUUCCACUGUGAGUCUAGAUCCUUGGAUACGAGUAAGCAUUUCUUCUUUGAUUCUCUCUUUUCUACCACGACAAUCUUUCCUACUAUAACACCUGCAAAGUACCAUCCUAACCGCACUACUCUUCCAACUGUACAUUUGUUGACUGUACAGACGCACAGAUCAGAGGCAGCCCAAAGGAAACUCUUCCACCUGGCUGCUCCCUGGACAGUUCUCAAAGCAAACAUUCAAGUGAUCUUUUCACAAAUGACCCACAACAGCUCUUUUACUUAUGGUAAAUGUCCAGUCAAGCUGUGAGCGGAUACACGUUCUGUCAGGUGUAACACUUAAAAUUGGUAUAUCAGGUUUCCUUGAAGAAUCAUCGAGUCAUUUACAGUUUUAAGUUAUUAAUCAGUGUUUCAUUAUUCCUCUCUUUUCAUCUGGAUAAAAUAAGGCUCACUUUAUUUGAAGCUAUGACAGGAAGCUGUGUCAUAAUGGGAACAAAACCAGUAGGACACCUUUGUUCUGCUGAAAGUCAGGCACAUGGUCCAAUGACUUCAAAACUUAACCUUUUCACUCCCAGCCUUUGAUUCCCAGCCUGUGUGUCCUAGUGACAGACAGAGGCGUCACUAUUUCCACUGCAGAUAUGUGAUACAGACUUCUGGAUAUGACAUGGUGAUUUCUGACUGUCAGCUAUUAAAAAAGAGAAUAUGUGAUGUAUCUCCUGAUGAAACCUUAGGAAUCUUGUCCCACCCAAAUGAUUCGUGAUUCUACGGUUUUAUGAUUAAGUGAUUCCGUGGUUCUAUGAUUCCAUGAGUUGUUGCUUCUGUGAUUCCAUGACCCCAUUAAUUGGAGAUUUCAUUAUUCUAAAAGUUGGGGUCUUUUGGUUUUGCAGAAAUAAACAACAAGGAAGCCUAGCUGCCAUAGCCAAGGUUUGUUAUUCACUCCUGAACUCCUCUGUGGGGAUAAGGGCACUGAGGGGACACAGCCUGACCACUGCCUUCCAGUAACACAGUGGCCCAUCCCUGCAACUCCAGGUCCCUGUCACCAACCUGUUCAUGUGUGUCGUAUCUCCAUGAUGUCCCCAUGAUGCCCUCAUGUCAGCUUUAUGUUCCCAUGGUUUCCAUGAUGUCCCUGCAUCUCCAUGAUGCCCCUUUUUCCCUAUAUCCGUGCAGCCAGGGGAUGUCAGGCACUGGGACAUGGUGGCUUUGAGUCUGGGUGCCAUCAGGAUCCCAGUGCUCAGUGCCUGUUCCCUCAACCUUGGCUCCUUCCCAUACUCAGGGGCGGGGGCUGGCUGCAUGCUGGGUUCAGCCCAUGCCAGGGGGGCUCUGCAAAGCCCAGGGGCAUUUGGGGAGCUGGGAGGAGCCCUGGGAGGAUAAAUGCAGCCCUAGCCUCCUGCAGCCUCACUCAGCUCCUAUGGAGGAAGAAGGUAGCCAUGCUCCACCUCACGCUGCUCCUGCAUGUGCCUCCAUGUACAUGCUCAAGUGUGGGGAUAAGGGCUCAGUGACAAUGGCUGGCUGGGGACCUCCUCCUCCUUUGGUGCCCUCAAUUCCCUUUCUUUGGGUUCUCUCUGUUCCCUUGGUUCCCUCUCUUUGGGUCCUCUUGGUUCCUUCUCCUUGAGUCCUUUCUCUUUGGGUGCCCUCUGUUCCCCCUCCUUGGGUCCUUCUUAUUCCCUUUUUCUGGGUCUCCUAGGGUUCUUCUCUUUGGGUUACAUUGUUUUGUUCUCUUUGGAUCUCCACUGUCUCCUCCCCUUGGAUCCUCUCAGUUUCUUGUUCUUGGGUCCCCUCGGUUUCUUCUUUGGGUCCCCACCUCCUGGUCUCCACCUCCCCUCCAGGUCCCUGCAUUCCAAAGAUUCCAGAUGACAACUAGGAGCAAUUGAGUCUAUGAAGACGAGCAGGGAUUUUCCCUCAGUCCAGGGGAGGGCCAUAUGGGGGUGGAGGUCAAUGGGGAUGCCCACGGGGAUACAAUUUUCCAUGAAUUCCAACCCAAUCUGUCCUUCAUCCUCCUUCCCCAGCUCCUGGACAAUUUUGAGGUGAGAGCAAGUGAAGCUUUUGAUGCAGGAGUGAGUUCUGGGAUGCCCUCAGGGUACAGCCAAUUUGGGGAACUCUGAACCCUCUGUGGGCUCUGAGCACAUCCUGGUGCCCACUGAAGUCUCCCCAUUUCUCCCUCUACCUGCAACCCACGGUCGUGGGUCUUCUUACCUAGGUGAGAGACGGUGGUGGUCCCCUGACCCCAAAAGAGUCCUGGGCUUCAGGGGGACCUCAAAGAGCUCUGGGUUGGGAGGCACAGAGGGAAUCAUCCAUGAUCCAAGGAUAGCACUGUCUCUACGUGGUGCAGGUGAACAUCACAUCACCCUAUGGUACAUAGGGUACCACAGUACCAUAAAGUCUCCAUGAAGGCCCAAAGGUUCUGGUGCCAUAGAGACUCCGUAAAGUCACCUCCUGUACUUUGUCUUUCAGAAUGGCACAUAGGUGUGACCCCUGUGCUGUCCCCUCUCUGUUGCAUGAAAAUUUGACCAUCCCUAGAUGUCCCCACCAGAUCCUCUAGAGGACAUAGCCCAUUUUCCCACAAUAAACACCAAUAAAGCCCCUCAGCAAAGCUCCUGUGCUCAUGUCCCUGUAUUUCUGUGUCCAUAUGUCCCUUUGUCCUUGUGUAAGUCUGUCCCCCAUUGUCCCUGCAGUAACCAUGGUGUCCAUACGGUAUGCCUAUUAUUCCUAUAGUGACACCGUUACAUUAUCCCUGCAGUAACUCCAUUAUUCCACGACUCUGUAACAUUCAUUUGGAUCGAGGUGUGGAGAUGGCACUGGGUUGGCACCGAGGGUGACACAGCCCCUCAGUGGGUGGUACCGGGAGACACUAAGAGUGACAUAAUCCCUCAAGGGGUGGCACUCGGUGUCCUCCGGAGCCCUCAGCACAAUUUCAGACUCCUUCCAGUGCGAUUCCUAACGCUUCCACCCCAUCAUGCCCGCCCUGCGGGGUACCUGCAGCCUCUCCCCCACGACCAGAUUUGCCCUCUCGGCCACACCUCCCGCCCACCUUCCCAGCCAAUGGCAGCCAUCACCCAGCAAAUGGCAGUGCAUCUAGCCAAUGAGAGCUUGCGAUGGCAGCGGGAUGAAGGCACAGAGAGAACGGCCACGCUCUCUCCCUUUCCUCCCCCUGGGUGCAAUGGACAAAAUGGCAGCGUCAGUUGCCUAGCAAUAGCGCUUGGGCCCACCAGGAGGCUCUAAACCCCAUUCGGGCCUAACUCAACCCCACAGUCCUCAUCCUAAUCUCCUACCUGGACCCUACAGUGGGGAUGUAGGAAUGGAAUGUUGUUUCUGCAUUAGAUACUGAAAAGGGGGAAUUGAUCUGAAGAAGUAGAGCAUAAUCUAUUUGUAUUUUGUAACUUGUCCUUAGAAAUGGCUGAUGUGAAAAGGUAGAAAUACCAUAUAUGCUAGUAGCAUAUUUUAGAAGUAUAGUUGCUGAAUUAUGUGAUUAAUUCUUGCUUGCAAAACCGCAAUAGUAUUAUGGACUAGAAAGCAUAUUGUAGGGCUAUUCUGUUUAAAUAAGAGACCUUCAGUAAAAGAAAAAGACUUAAAAAACAUCAAAGAAGCCAGGGGCUCUACACAAGGUUGGAUUGCCUCGCUCUGUGGAUAGGUUGGGAUGCAACAGGAAGACAUCAAGAUACUCCCCUCUAUCCUCCUUCCAAACUUAUCUCUAGGCAAGGACGAGCAGAUGUCCAGGAACAAUGACUGAAUGUUGAAUGAUCAAGUGUGAGAAGUUAAUUAAUUAGCAAUAUAUGCUCAACUAGCAACAAUUUAUGAGUAGCUGAAUGUUGGGAAGAUUGUGAACCUGAAGUACUCAGCCAAUGAGGACCCAGGGGAGAAAGAGAUAAGUGUCGAGUAAUAGGGCAUAAAAGAUGUAAAGCUGUUUUCUGUGUGCUCUCUGGCUUGCAGGAAGCCUGCCAUUGCAAUUGCGAAUAAAAUCUGCUUUAUCAGAGAUACUAUCCUGAUAAAUUAUUUGGAUAUUUCCAACAAUUUGGGGGCUCAUCUGGGAUUAUUAUGGCCUCUUUGGGGGUCCCCCUACUUCUCUGGAUAGGAUAGGUGCUGAUUCUAGUGGUCCUGUCUGGGUGGUGAGGUAACUCUUUGGGAUGGCCUAUAUGAAACCGAGACUGUUACAUAAAGGACGGAUCUGUGAAGGCCAAGGGGCAGGUAGGCACGGGUGUUGACCCCUGCAGACCUGGUAACCUUGUGCACGGACCAAGGUAAGGGAAUUUACUUCUUGCCUUGAGGGUCAGUUGAGACUCGAGUGAGUGUGUGUGACUGAGACACACUUUCAGUGUGAAGCAAGUGCGGAGUCCCGAUCUGCAGUUCUGUUGUCCUGCGAGGGUUGCAGCUAGAGACAGACGAAGCGGCUGUGGUGGUGAAUGGAAGAGUCUCGGGAGGGAGCUGUUGGUAUGCGGUACUCUGUGCACUUGAAGUGGCAGCAGUACACCCCUGUUAAUCCGAGAAUUGGAGCAAGGUACUCUGGAGGGAUUGGCCCUAGAUCUGAGGAUAGGAGUGUGGUAACCUGUGAGCUAGGUGGUUCACAGUAACAUUCUGGAGGGAUGAGGAAUAGGAGCUCUGAGGAACAGGGGAAAAUGUUCUCCGCAAUUGUGCCUAGAGAAUUGUGCCCCUUGGGAAAGAAGCUUCAGAAUUGGAAUAUGUUCCCAAAACUAGGGACAAGAACAGGGAAAAGAUGUUUAAAUACUGUACAGACAUAGCCUAGAGAGCCACUACAGGGAAAAUCAUUAUUUUGACCAAAGAGUCUGAUGAAUGUUGGGCUUGUCAGACUUUGAAUUUAUAUGUAAACAGUAGGACUCCUUUCUUUGAAACAAAAUUGGCUUAUGCUGGUUAAUGAGUGGAAAAAGUAAAACAGUUCCUCACAAAAAGCAGUCGAAGUUCAAAAGAGCAAGGAGAGAAGCAGAAAGAUUGUAAAUGGGAUCCCUUAGAUAACUUCCCCCCCUCAAAUUUCCAAAGCAAUGCGAGCGGCAGUGGUCUCUGCAGAGGGGGGGAGUGGCUGAUCCCCUGCAGGGUCCUAGGGAGAGUGCACAUUCUUAAUUACUGAGGGAAUUGGAGCAAUGUAGAUGGAACCAGGAGAAUUUUCCUUUUUCUAAUACUAACCUUACUAAUACUUCACUUCAUCCUCUUAGGGAAGUCCCCUUAGGUCUAGGGGAAAUAGGGUAUGCUGAUGCCUCCUCCUUUUUACUAGCAGAAAGGUUAGGAAUUUCAAAAAGGAAAUGAAUUCCUUAACUGAGGAUCCUAUAAGAAUAGCAGAACAAUUAGAUCAAUUUAUAGAGCCUAAUUUCUACUCAUGGAUGGAAAUGAUGUUUAUCAUGGGUAUAUUGUUUACUGGAGAAGAAAGAGGUGUGAUUAGGUGGGCAGCUGUGCAAGAGUGGGAAAGGAAUACAGAAGAAAGGUCGGGCCCUGUGGGAAGGUGGAGAGAGGAAGGAUCCUGAGGAUAAACUGUACUGAUUAUUGUCAAUGUCUUUGUGAUUGUUAGAUGUUUAUGGUGUGAAAGUGUUAUCUAAGAAGCUGUUAUGGGACAAGGGGUGUCUAAAAAGAUACCAAAAAUGACCCCCUGGGUUGUAUUUUGGCUCACAGGAGAGACACUGUGGGUGAGACAGGGAAUAUCAAAUGAAAAACUGGGAACAGAUAUGAAGUAGCGGGACCAGUUUUUAUAAUUGAAUAUUCUAAUCUUGAGACUAAGUAUUGAAUGUUUGUGGAAACUGAAGAGCUGUAUUGUUUGAUUAGUGGGUUUUGAAAUGAAUAGAACAAACUGUUUUGAUGGUAUAAGAAAGUGUAAUUGUUAAUUGAAGCAUAAUUGAGGACAUGUGGAAGUGUAAUUGAGGGUAUGAAUAGUGGAAUAGUGUAAAAAGGAAAAAGGGUUAAAGAGAAAGUGAGUUUAUGUGUGCUGGCAUGAAAGCAACCCCCUGCACUGCCCUCCCUGUGAGCAGAAGUUGGAGUGAGAAAGAGAGCCAGGGCCAGAGACUGCUGCUGUAAACAGUGUUAUUUGUGAAGGGGAGGUGGAGAAGACGGGACAUUGGAAGUGAGAAUAGUCUUCAUCUGCAGAGAUCUAGGAAACCAAAAUCUCAGUGUUAGAUGAAAAUGAAAUAUAAUGUUAGUAGUUUUAUGUAACAAUAAGAGUUUGGAAAGUGAAAAAGGUUUGAGAAAGACACAGGCUGAGGAAGGCAAAGAUGAGCAAGGUGAACAGGGAUGUAAGGGCUGAAGAGAGGUGACUGUUAUGGAAAAAUUGAUUGAGGAACAGAGAUAGUAAGGAGAUUGGGAAGAACAACAGCAGCUGCUACUGUUGUGGCGCUAAACUAGGGCUGUAGGACACAGAGGUCCCCUCAGGAAGAGGUGGGGGGUGGCCUGGAAAAGCCCAGGGAGGGCUCUGCCCCACAGACUACAGGGAAAUGGGACAUUGGUGGAGAAAUCCUAACAAGCUGAGUGAGAAGGAACGGUCUCUGAUCGCAAAAGCUGGAUGAUGGGAACCUGGGAAGUUUACCCUAGCAGAUCCACUGGCUAUAUUGCAGCUAGGGGAGCAGGAUAAAGAGGUUUAGUUUCUGGUGGAUAUAGGUGCCUCUUACCAACCAAAGAUGUAACAGUAGUAGGAGCUACUGGCCAACAAGAAAAAAGCUUACCUUUUGGGAUCAAUUAAAUAUAGGCUGAGAAAGCAAGUAGGAAUACAUAAAUUCUUGUACAUACCAGGUUCUCCAAAGCCAUUACUUGGGCAAGACUAAUUAGUACAUACAGAUGCAGAGAUUAAAUUCAAUAAAACUGGAGCUAAGGGUCAAACAAUAUCAACUGAUCAAAAAUUAUAAGACUGGCUCUAACACAAACUGGGAAAAACAAUGUUGUAGUCCCAGAAGUAACAGAAAUCUUAAAUCAGGUACACUUUGGGGUGUGGGUUUCACGGAUGCCUGGUAGAGCCAAAAAUGCAUCCCCAAAUAGAAGUUAAAUUAAAAAGCAGGAGCUGGCCGAGUCAGGGUAAAGCAGUGCCCUUUGAGGAUAUGAGAUUGUAGAAGGAUAGAAGAAAUAAUAGAUAAUUGUUUGGAGUUUGGAUUACUAAUUGAAUGCGAAUCCAAAUACAGUAUCCCAAUUUUGCAGAUGAAAAAUCAGAUCGCAAGUGCUAUAGUUCAGUACAAGACUUGAGGGCAAGUAACAGAAUUGUUGAAUGCAUGCACUCAGUGGUGGCAAAUCCAUACACUUUAUUAACCAAGUUCAGGAAUGAGUAGGUGGAGUUUACCUUCUGGAUUUGAAGGAUGCCUUUUUGUCUGGUUUGGCCAAAGGGAGCUUAAUGUUAUUUGCCUUUGAAUAAGAAAACCCCAGUACAGGGAGAAAAGACGCAGUCAACCUGGACAGUGUUUCUCAGAGUUGUGAGAACAGCCCAAUGAUUUUUGAGAACCGAUCAACUUGUGAGCCUGAGAUUUGGGUUCCUCCAUCCCAGGGUGGAACUUUACAGCAGCAUACGGGUGCCCAGUAACUAUACACAGUGUACAGUGGACUGUGAGUUUGCUGAAUUCCUUGGAUUAAAUGGUUAUCAAGUUUCUCAACAGAAAGCUCAACUGAUCAUAAAGAAGGAAGGAAGCAAUUUGUUGGACUCCCAGAACACCAACGCAGAGCUACAUUUGAGCCAGCAGUGUGCAACUGCAUGGAGACUGUAUGUGCCAGUGGACCAGACCUAAAGAAGGAACUAUUGGAUGAUGCUGAGGAUUCCUGAAUUCAUCAAUGGAAGCAGUUUAGUGAGACAAAGAAACCAUAAGGCAGGAUAUGCAGUAAUUGCUACUGACAAGGUACAACCGUUACCUCUAGGGACUUCCACUAAGAAGUCUAAAAUAGCCUUAAACAUAUGGACAGAUGGUAAAUGUGCAUUUGGGGUGGUACACACUUAUGGUACCAUCUGGAAAGAGCAAGGAUUGCUCACACACAGGGAAGACAAAUUCAGCAUGAUGUAAAUCUACAUCUCAAUUGCAUGGCUAUUGUACAUUGUAAAGAACAUCAGAAAGGUAACACUGUACAGGAAACUGGAAAUACGAUUGGGAUCAGGUGGCAAAACAGUCAGUUGAAGGAAAAGAAAUUACAGAACUGGCUUUAAUUCCAGAUGCUAAACUUCAAAUAUCUGAACCUGAGUCAGAACCUGUGGAGAAUUUUAGAGGGGAUAGGAAUCUAAUUAAUCAUUUAGAAGGGAAGAAAGCUAGCUGACAGAUGGGUGCAUACCCAGAUGGACACAUAGUUGCGCCCUUUAGUAUUUUAUGGAAAUUGGUUCUAAGGGAACAUAAUGAAACAUGUUGGGGGGACAGACACUAUAAAGUAAUUAUACAAUCUAGUACCAGGAACAGGGUACAAGUCGGGCCUAUUAGAAAAGGGAACCUUCCGGGUCAACAAUGGCAAAUUGAUUUUUUUUUGGAACUAUCAGGAAAAAGGAGGGUUUCAUUAUAUGCUAGUUCUAACCAAUACCUUUUCAAUGUGGCCAGAAGCAUUCCCUUGCAGGACAAAUAAAGCCAAAGAAGUAACCAAGGUAUUGUUGCAGGAGAUUAUUCCAAGGUUUUAGAUUACUGCAACAAUAUCCUCCAACCAGGGAGCUCACUUUAUUGUAGAGAUUGUCCAUCAGGACAGAAAUAGCUUUGGGAAAUAGAGAAACUUGUUCUAGGAACAAGAGCCCAAAGCCUUGACAGCUUGAUACAUAAUAUUUUACAAAGAGAUUAUGUGUAUGUAUUAGAUCUCUCUUAGAUCCGCCACUGGAACCAAGC